rnacentral:tRNA from 1 species
AAGAGAGCUCAGUUAGACUGCUAAUCUGACACCACCAAGACUAACCACUUGGCUCUCU